rnacentral:SRP_RNA from 1 species
CUAUGCAACUGGGGAACUAGCGGCUCUCUGUACUUGCAAUUCGCUUAGCAAGAGUGGUGUUUACUCUCGGAUUGUCUUUUCGAAGUUUUGCGGAUUUUCCCAUGGCGUUGAAAACUGAGUCUUGUGCAAUAAACGGUUAUGAAUCGUGUCAGGUCGGGAACGAAGCAGCACUAAGUAAUUUUGUUUAUGUGACUCGAGGUUACUGAGUUUGAGCUUAUGGUUUUUAUUUAGCAUUCGUUAUUGGCAUUACAAAAGUAUACGCAUAG